rnacentral:misc_RNA from 1 species
GAUGAAGAACGCAGCUAAAUGCGAUAAGUAAUGUGAAUUGCAGAAUUCAGUGAAUCAUCGAAUCUUUGAACGCACAUUGCGCCCCCCAGUAUUCUGGCGGGCAUGCCUGUUCGAGCGUCAUUUCAACCAUCAAGCCCUGCUUGUGUUGGGGUCCUGCGGCUGCCCGCAGGCCCUGAAAACCAGUGGCGGGCUCGCUAGUCACACCGAGCGCAGUAGCACAUCUCGCUCAGGGCGUGCGGCGGGCUCCAGCCGUUAAAGCACCCACCUUUCGCAAGGUUGACCUCGGAUCAGGUAGGAAUACCCGCUGAACUUAAGCAUAUCAAUAAGCGGAGGA